rnacentral:rRNA from 1 species
AAGUCGUAACAAGGUUUCCCUGCUGGAGCCUGUACAGCCCGUCACACGGUGGUCGCGACUCUAAACAAUGCCCGAAGUAAGUCAGCAAUGGCUACACAACCGAAUUGCGGGGACCCCCUUAUUGCCAACGCCACUAACCAGUGCGAGAAAUCGCGCCGGGGCCCGUGUUAACUCCACGGGGUAUAGUAAUAGCGUGUUGGAUUGGGCAAUCCGCAGCGAAACCCUAAGGCGAGAGCUAUGGGUAGCGUUCACAGACUAAGUGGUUGUGGGUAGGUACGCCUAUCUCAGAUAUAGUCGAGCCCUGACCGAGAGGCCAGAGAUAGCUGUUCCGUAGGUGAACCUGCGGAAGGAUCAUUAACAAUAGAAACGCCCCUGGGCGGCUUCUAAACCCUUGAAUUUAAUACCUUUGUUGCUUUGGUGGGCCGCGGUGCGCCGCAUAGGCCUCGGUCUAUUGUGCCUGCCAGAGGACCCAACUCUGAGUUUAGUGAUGUCUGAGUACUAUUUAAUAGUUAAAACUUUCAACAACGGAUCUCUUGGUUCUGGCAUCGAUGAAGAACGCAGCGAAAUGCGAUAAGUAAUGCGAAUUGCAGAAUUCAGUGAGUCAUCGAAUCUUUGAACGCACAUUGCGCCCCUUGGCAUUCCGAGGGGCAUGCCUGUUCGAGCGUCAUUUCACCACUCAGCGUAGCUUGGUCUUGGGAUUCGCGGUUUCGCGGUCCUUAAAAUCAGUGCGGUGCCUGUAGGCCCUGAGCGUAGUAAUCUUCUCGCUACAGUCCCUAUAAGCUACCUGCCAACAACCCCUAAUUUUUCAGGUUGACCUCGGAUCAGGUAGGGAUACCCGCUGAACUUAAGCAUAUCAAUAAGCGGAGGAAAAGAAACCAACAGGGAUUACCUCAGUAACGGCGAGUGAAGCGGUAACAGCUCAAAUUUGAAAUCUGGCCCUUUCAGGGUCCGAGUUGUAAUUUGUAGAAGCUGCUUUGGGUGCGGUCCGGGUCUAAGUUCCUUGGAACAGGACGUCAUAGAGGGUGAGAAUCCCGUAUGCGACUCGGUGCCUAUCCUGUGUAAAGCGCUUUCGACGAGUCGAGUUGUUUGGGAAUGCAGCUCAAAAUGGGUGGUAAAUUUCAUCUAAAGCUAAAUAUUGGCCAGAGACCGAUAGCGCACAAGUAGAGUGAUCGAAAGAUGAAAAGCACUUUGGAAAGAGAGUUAAACAGUACGUGAAAUUGUUGAAAGGGAAGCGCUUGCAACCAGACUUGCGCCCUAUCGAUCAUCCGAGGUUCUCCCCGGUGCACUCGGUAGGGCUCAGGCCAGUAUCGGUUUCGGUGGUGGGAUAAAGGCCUAGGGAAUGUGACUUCUCUCGGGAAGUGUUAUAGCCCUAGGUGCAAUGCCACCUACUGGGACCGAGGACCGCGCUUCGGCUAGGAUACUGGCGUAAUGGUUGUAAGCGACC